UACGUAGGUGGCAAGCGUUGUCCGGAUUUAUUGGGUUUAAAGGGUGCGUAGGCGGCUUGAUAAGUCAGUGGUGAAAGCCGAUCGCUUAACGAUCGAACUGCCAUUGAUACUGUCGGGCUUGAGUAUAGAUGAGGUAGGCGGAAUUGACAGUGUAGCGGUGAAAUGCAUAGAUAUUGUCAAGAACACCAAUUGCGAAGGCAGCUUACUAAGUUAUAACUGACGCUGAGGCACGAAAGUGCGGGGAUCAAACAGG
rnacentral:rRNA from 2 species